rnacentral:misc_RNA from 1 species
GUGAAUCAUCAAAUUUUUGAACGCAUAUUGCACCAUCUGGUAUUCCGGAGAGUAUGCCUAUUUGAGGGUCAUUUGAAAUAAUAUAAAUUUCGUGAUUUUCUUGAAAUCAAAAUUGGGUCGGUCCAGCUUUCGUGUGGUGGUCGCCUAUAAUGCAAGAUAUGCUCAUUCCUUGGGAUGCUUGAUACUUUCAGUUACCUCGUGACUUAACCAGGAAUCAUCCGUUGUGUUCUGAUUGUUGCAAGUGAUAAAAAAUUC